rnacentral:misc_RNA from 1 species
UCACGUCUUGCGACGGCAGUUUCUUCAGAGUUCCCACCAUUACGUGCUGGCAACUGAAGAUGGGGGUUGCGCUCGUUGCGGGACUUAACCCAACACCUCACGGCACGAGCUGACGACAGCCAUGCAGCACCUUACUGUCUGUGUAUUGCUACAAAACUCCCUUUCAGGAGCGGUCAAACAGCAUUCUAGCCCAGGUAAGGUUCCUCGCGUAUCAUCGAAUUAAACCACAUACUCCACCGCUUGUGCGGACCCCCGUCAAUUCCUUUGAGUUUCAGCCUUGCGGCCGUACUCCCCAGGCGGGACACUUACUGCGUUAGCGACGACACCGGGAGGGUCGCUCCCCCCGACGUCUAGUGUCCAUCGUUUACGGCGUGGACUAC